rnacentral:rRNA from 1 species
AUUGAACGCUGGCGGCAGGCCUAACACAUGCAAGUCGAACGAGUGGCGGACGGGUGAGUAAUGUCUGGGAAACUGCCUGAUGGAGGGGGAUAACUACUGGAAACGGUAGCUAAUACCGCAUACCAUCGGAUGUGCCCAGAUGGGAUUAGCUAGUAGGUGGGGUAAAGGCUCACCUGAGCGACGAUCCCUAGCUGGUCUGAGAGGAUGACCAGCCACACGCGAACUGAUCCACGGUCCAGACUCCUACGGGGGGCAGCUGUGGGGAAUAUUGCACAAUAGGCGCACGCCGGAUGCAGCCAUGCCGCGUGUAUGAAGAAGGCCUUCGGGUUGUAAAGUACUUUCAGCGGGGAGGCGUUACCCGCAGAAGAAGCACCGGCUGACUCCGUGCCAGCAGCCGCGGUAAUAC